rnacentral:rRNA from 1 species
GCGUUAAAGGGGGUGAAAAGCCCCCUCGCCGAAAGCGCAAGGUUUCCUACGCAACGUUCAUCGGCGUAGGGUGAGUCGGCCCCUAAGGCGAGGCAGAGAUGCGUAGCUGAUGGGAAACAGGUCAAUAUUCCUGUACCGAUUGCAAGUGCGAUGUGGGGACGGAGAAGGUUAGCUCAGCCGGGUGUUGGAUGUCCCGGUUCAAGCGUGUAGUCGUGCUCUUUAGGCAAAUCCGGAGAGCUUAGAUGAGGCGUU